UCCGUAGGCGGUCUUAUAAGUCAGUGGUGAAAUCCCAUCGCUCAACGAUGGAACUGCCAUUGAUACUGUAGGACUUGAAUGCUUAGGAAGUUACUAGAAUAUGUAGUGUAGCGGUGAAAUGCUUAGAUAUUACAUGGAAUACCAAUUGCGAAGGCAGGUUACUACUAAGUGAUUGACGCUGAGGCACGAAAGUGUGGGGAUCAAACAGGAUUAGAUACCCCAGUA
rnacentral:rRNA from 1 species